rnacentral:rRNA from 1 species
CUAGCUCAUGUUGAACGCUGGCGGCAUGCCUAACACAUGCAAGUCGAACGGUAACAGGUCUAGCUUGCUAGAUGCUGACGAGUGGCGGACGGGUGAGUAAUACAUAGGAAUCUGCCCUAUAGUGGGGGAUAGCCCGGGGAAACCCGGAUUAAUACCGCAUAAGUCCUACGGGAGAAAGCGGGGGAUCGUAAGACCUCGCGCUGAUGGAUGAGCCUAUGUCUGAUUAGCUAGUUGGUAGGGUAAAGGCCUACCAAGGCAACGAUCAGUAGCUGGUCUGAGAGGAUGGCCAGCCACACCGGAACUGAGACACGGUCCGGACUCCUACGGGAGGCAGCAGUGGGGAAUAUUGGGCAAUGGGCGAAAGCCUGACCCAGCAAUGCCGCGUGUGUGAAGAAGGCCUGCGGGUUGUAAAGCACUUUCAGUGGUGAAGACGGGCAUAAUGGUUAAUAACCAUUAUGCUUGACGUUAGCCAAAGAAGAAGCACCGGCUAACUCCGUGCCAGCAGCCGCGGUAAUACGGAGGGUGCGAGCGUUAAUCGGAAUUACUGGGCGUAAAGCGCACGUAGGUGGUUGAGUAAGUCAUAUGUGAAAGCCCUGGGCUUAACCUAGGAAUUGCAUAUGAUACUGCUUGGCUAGAGUAUGUUAGAGGGAAGCGGAAUUCCGGGUGUAGCGGUGAAAUGCGUAGAUAUCCGGAGGAACAUCAGUGGCGAAGGCGGCUUCCUGGGACAAUACUGACACUGAGGUGCGAAAGCGUGGGGAUCAAACAGGAUUAGAUACCCUGGUAGUCCACGCUGUAAACGAUGAGAACUAGUCGUCGGAAGGGUCAGCCAUUCGGUGGCGGAGCUAACGCGUUAAGUUCUCCGCCUGGGGAGUACGGCCGCAAGGUUGAAACUCAAAGUAAUUGACGGGGGCCCGCACAAGCGGUGGAGCAUGUGGUUUAAUUCGAUGCAACGCGAAGAACCUUACCUGGUCUUGACAUCCUGCGAACUUUCUAGAGAUAGAUUGGUGCCUUCGGGAACGCAGAGACAGGUGCUGCAUGGCUGUCGUCAGCUCGUGUCGUGAGAUGUUGGGUUAAGUCCCGCAACGAGCGCAACCCUUGUCCUUAGUUGCCAGCACGUAAUGGUGGGAACUCUAAGGAGACUGCCGGUGACAAACCGGAGGAAGGUGGGGAUGACGUCAAGUCAUCAUGGCCUUUAUGACCAGGGCUACACACGUGCUACAAUGGUCGGUACAGAGGGUUGCCAACCCGCGAGGGGGAGCUAAUCCCAGAAAGCCGAUCCCAGUCCAGAUCGGAGUCUGCAACUCGACUCCGUGAAGUCGGAAUCGCUAGUAAUCGCGAAUCAGCAACGUCGCGGUGAAUACGUUCCCGGGCCUUGUACACACCGCCCGUCACACCAUGGGAGUUGGUUGCACCAGAAGUAGGUAGUCUAACCGCAAGGAGGACGCUUACCACGGUGUGGUCAAUGACUGGGGUGAAGUCGUAACAAGGUA